rnacentral:rRNA from 1 species
CAGUAGCCACGGGAAUACAGAGGGUGCGAGCGUUAAUCGGAUUUACUGGGCGUAAAGCGUGCGUAGGCGGCUUUUUAAGUCGGAUGUGAAAUCCCUGAGCUUAACUUAGGAAUUGCAUUCGAUACUGGGAAGCUAGAGUAUGGGAGAGGAUGGUAGAAUUCCAGGUGUAGCGGUGAAAUGCGUAGAGAUCUGGAGGAAUACCGAUGGCGAAGGCAGCCAUCUGGCCUAAUACUGACGCUGAGGUACGAAAGCAUGGGGAGCAAACAGGAUUAGAUACCUCAGUAGUCCCUGUCUCUUAUAA